UGAGAGUAUGAUAGUGUGUGUGAGAGAGUUUGAUUGAUACGGAAACGAGUUUGAUUGAAACGGAAGUAAUAUUAAAUUCUCAGUACCUGAUUGGUGGAAGACGCGGGAUUUCACAGACAUGUCCCGCCUUCCUCAUUAUUACUGAUAGGAGAGGAUAGUGGACCGAGAGAGAAUCAAUGGAGCAUCGGCCUGUUAACAUUUUAAACUUUUCCACCGCUGCCACAUCCAUGUCAGAAAUGUGGAUUUAAACCCGACAGCCCGACAGGAGUCUAAACGCGGCCGCGGAGGAAGAGAUGCGGUGAAGCUUUAUAUCCGAACCAUCAGCCGAGUGCUGCGAGCUCCAUAUCAGACCCAACCACAGAGAGCAGCGGCUCCAGAGUCAGGGGACAGUAUUGAACUUUUGAUGGCAUGAGGAAACAAACUGGUUUCACCGAAGUUGCACGAGGGCCAGAAACUAAAUGGCUUCAUGAUUGACAAUACAUUUACAUCAAAGGCAGUGUACAUUAGACAAUGACACAUUUACGUUUGUCAUCACAGAUUUAGAGGACAGUGGUGUGGAGGUUGACACGACAACAGCAUCUAGUGACCACAGAAGUACCACACCAGUCAUUGUAUGACUACAAGGACUAAGGAUACCUUAAUCCACCUGAGUGACAGAUUAUUUGCUGUUGAGACUGUUCUGAAAUAUUUGGUUUCUGCAUGCAACAAUAAAUAAGAAACAUUUGUUUGCUUGGGACAAGAUCUUUGUUAACCAGUAUAAUAGUGAUUUCCUGACCUGUCCAUAACUUGAUAAUAAAUAUCUAAAUAUUA